rnacentral:rRNA from 1 species
CCUACGGGUGGCAGCAGUGAGGAAUAUUGGUCAAUGGACGAGAGUCUGAACCAGCCAAGCAGCGUGAAGGAUGACUGCCCUAUGGGUUGUAAACUUCUUUUAUAUGGGAAUAAAAUGUUCCACGUGUGGGAUUUUGUAUGUACCAUAUGAAUAAGGAUCGGCUAACUCCGUGCCAGCAGCCGCGGUAAUACGGAGGAUCCGAGCGUUAUCCGGAUUUAUUGGGUUUAAAGGGAGCGUAGGUGGAUUGUUAAGUCAGUUGUGAAAGUUUGCGGCUCAACCGUAAAAUUGCAGUUGAAACUGGCAGUCUGGAGUACAGUAGAGGUGGGCGGAAUUCGUGGUGUAGCGGUGAAAUGCUUAGAUAUCACGAAGAACUCCGAUUGCGAAGGCAGCUCACUGGACUGCAACUGACACUGAUGCUCGAAAGUGUGGGUAUCAAACAGGAUUAGAUACCCCAGUAGUC